AGAACAGUGGGAUGUAUCAUUGUCUGCUUAUCUGAAGAUAUGCCUGCUGUCAGCUCAGCAUCAUUACCGGGGCCCAAGACAUUUCCAUAGGCCUUUGAAAAGCUUUCAAGCUGGAGGUCUCCUGCCUUUCGACAGAGGAGCCCUGGUGGCAGCAAGCCUUUCCACCUAGGCCAACACCCAUCCCUUGCCUCAACCACAGGACCACUGAGGCUGACCUGGUGAGGUGGACCCCUUGAGAAGACUGCUGUUGGUGAGGUCCACAUUAGGGUAGAUUUAGCUCCCACAAGAGAAGUUUGUGUCACCAGAUCUCCACGAUGAUUCCAUGAAAGUCUGAGAAUGCUCCAAAUCAUAAUAAAAUCCAUCCAUUACUUCAGACAGAUGAAAACAGUUCCUUCUAAAAAGAGGCUAAUGUUUUUAAAAGACAGUAAGAGAAGAAUGUCAGCUCCCCAUGGCUGCAGUAGAAAGUGCUGGAUGAGAGGAGCAUCUCCAGAGCAUGGAAGACAAAGCAGCUUUAUCCUCAACUUUUCCACCUCAAUUUCCAUUUUCCUCCAAGGCAAAACUCCCACUCCUGGCAGAUUAAAUGAAAUGAAGACACUGAGCUCUGCAAGUACACUGCUUUUUGAAUCCCAGAGGGGAUGAUGUAGCAAGAAGGACCUCACCAGAUGCUGGCACCUUGAUGUUAGACUUCCCAGUCUCCACAAUGUGAACUUGCUUGUCAAAUGCCUCUUUAAAAAGAAAGUGAAGAUAACUGCAAGUCAGCUGGAAGUGCUGCCAAGAUAUGACCUCCAGGAAGGCCCAGAAGACAAGUGAUAUUGUGUGGACUGCUACAGCGCAAUGUCUAACUGAUGCAAAAUGAAGAAUCAAUUUGAAAUUAAGAUGAGUAAAGGCAUCCAGCACUUACAGCAAAAAACAUUGUCAUCAGGCCCUGGGGAGAUGAGGACACCUCCCUUCCCUUCUCAGGCUCCCUUUCCCUGUCAGACUCUAGCUCUCAAAGGCUGUCAUCCUCCAAGGGUAUUCCCUACGUACUGCAUAGCAUCUCUGUUACCCUUUGAAUUCAACAGUAUUCAUCUCCUCCAACAUUCAUUCAUUCCUUUAGUCAAAAGUCAGUUGUCAAACACAAGGCACAAGUGCACAUUUAAGGAAUUCAUGGCCAAUAUUUGUCAUGUCAUUUCAUGAAUUGUCUGAGAAACAUAAAACAUACAAUGAGGAUACUGAUCCAAGAUACAUGGCACACAAUUAAAUUGCGAAAAACAUGACUCUGAGUCCAAAAGUUCUUAUUUUUUCACAGUCUUCAGAGUAUUGUAUAGACCCCUUGAAAAAUAAAUUUGCAGAGUGUGAAUGUUAAUUACUGUCACCUUCAGAAAAGAGAUUUUACACAUGUAUAAAAGAGAAAUAGUGACUAUUCUAGAUUAUAGAGCACAGAAAGAAUUCUCAAACUAGUAUA
ensembl:lncRNA novel transcript